CAGUGUACUGCCCAGUGUCUCAGUUGUCUUCCUGUUGCCUGCAAGAUGUAGGACUCUCAGUUUUCUUCACAGGAAGAACGUCAGAAUGCACUACAACAGAAAAAUCAUCUUAUUGAUGGAGUAAAGAUCCAUGUUCAAGCUCAGAAAUCAAAGGUUUUGCAAGGGGUUCAAACAUCUGGUGGAGAGAAAGGUUUCCGAGAUUAGUGUACUAUUCAUUGAAUAAACAUAACCGACUUUAAAAUAAAACAAAACAUGGAAACAUCA